GACGAACGCUGGCGGCGUGCUUAACACAUGCAAGUCGAACGGAAAGGCCCUGCUUUUGUGGGGUGCUCGAGUGGCGAACGGGUGAGUAACACGUGAGUAACCUGCCCUUGACUUUGGGAUAACUUUAGGAAACUGGGGCUAAUACCGGAUAGGAGCUCCUGCUGCAUGGUGGGGGUUGGAAAGCUUCGGCGGUUGGGGAUGGACUCGCGGCUUAUCAGCUUGUUGGUGGGGUAGUGGCUUACCAAGGCUUUGACGGGUAGCCGGCCUGAGAGGGUGACCGGCCACAUUGGGACUGAGAUACGGCCCAGACUCCUACGGGAGGCAGCAGUGGGGAAUAUUGCACAAUGGGCGGAAGCCUGAUGCAGCAACGCCGCGUGCGGGAUGACGGCCUUCGGGUUGUAAACCGCUUUCGCCUGUGACGAAGCGUGAGUGACGGUAAUGGGUAAAGAAGCACCGGCUAACUACGUGCCAGCAGCCGCAGUAACAC
rnacentral:rRNA from 1 species